UUUUUCUCCUCUUGCACUAAAGAGUCGAAAUUUGUCCUGGUAAAUUUAUGGUAAAAUCUAUUUUACAGUUCAAGAUUCUGCUGUUGUGAAGACAUCACAUUUUAUUUAACAAGAGGUAUUCAGACUCUCUAGUCCUAAGCCAUCCAAGAGCAGACCUAGCCAAGGAACCAUUCUUCUCUCUCCUCGAGUUGAACUCACAGCUGCAGGAAGAUUUACUGAAAAAUUUCAGGAAAGAUCAAGAGGGCAUGAUCACCUGCAGUACAUGGCUUUAUCAAGAAAGUUCUGCUUUACUCCUGC